rnacentral:SRP_RNA from 1 species
UAUAUGAGCCAUCGCGAGGAGAGCCUCUCGAACCUGGUCAGGACCGGAAGGUAGCAGCCAUAAGUCAGGGUCCCCUGUGCGGUGGUUUUAUUCUCUU